UUCAGCUGUGUCUUCAGCAUUUUCGCUUUUUUCUUCGUCGUCGGGUUUAGUUUCCGUUUUUUGCGUCUGAUUUCAUAUCAGUGAUAUUUUUAUAAAUCCAUUAUAAUUGAUUAGGGUAUUUUUCCAAUGUGCGGGGAAAAUGGAGAUACAUAUACAUACAUAGGUUAGUAAAAGAAAGCUCCAAAGCGGCGAUAUUUUUAUUGGCGUUGCAGUUCUCGCUAGACGACAGUUACACAAACGUACAAACACAUGUUACAUGCAUACCGCGCUACACAUAAUAACGCUUACGUCUAUCAAAACACAUUAAACGCCAGCGCAGUGCGUAAUAGUUAAAUUUAAAAGCACAUUAAGAAUUUCUUCAGUAGUUUUACAUGAGCGUUGAAACUGGGAAUAAUCAACUAAUGCGUGGUAUAUACCUCCAGCACACUCGAUUCGUCUCAAGAACCUACUACCAUCAUUUACCGUUAAGCAUACAAGUAUAACGUACAUGGCUAUGCUACGUCGCGGCGAUUUAAUUAUCUGACUCAAUAUCCAGACAAAAAAAAAGAAAGUACAUGGUUUUAUUAUUGUAUAAAUGUAUUUUAUGCUCUUUACACAGCAGUCGUUUGUGAUAUACAUACAUAAUAAUAUUGAAUUGAUUCCUUCAAUUAAUUAGAUUUAUCUUUUCAUAAGCAUGUUCCUUUUUCAACCAAUAUGGCAAGUGAAACUAACUGUCAUACGUUUAUGAGAGCAAAUGUUUAUAUUAGGACUUGGUUAACAAUAUUAUUUGCACACAAUUAUUAUGGUCUCAUAUUAAUUAUAAAUAAUUUCAAUUAUCAAAAGUAGGAAAAUUUACGUUGUUACUUCUAAGCUGUAAACUAACAAUUCAACGUUCAUUUGUUGUAAUUGUUUUAGCGACUUCAAUUUAUAACUAUUAUUUGCGCCCCUUUGUGACGUGUGUUUAAUUUUGUGUUUAAAAUGUAUUUCCAGUUUAUCAUUGAUGUUGAUACUACAAUAUAUUUCGCUCCCAUGAAGAAAUUCUUCGUUAUUAAAUACUUGCGCAUGAAUCAAAUAUUGUGUAUAAAAAAGUUAUUUUUAUUUAUUAACAACUGAUCUCAAUCUCGCGGUAAAACAUUUACUAUCGUAUGUGCAAAGUAGCAAAGUAUGUACUGCACACAUACACAAACCCAUAAAGUUUAGUAUUACAUGCAAUGAAUAGAACCAUACUAAAAGUAUGAUAUAUCAUAUCAAUGAUUUAAAUUUAAUCGUUAUUGACGUUUUAAAGAUAAAUGAAAAGAUACGUAUUUAGAACUUGUAACUUGAUUUAAACAAUAAACCACUAAGAUAAGUAAUAAUUUUCAUUGGAUAUAAAAUAUAAAUUAAAAAUGGAUAUAAAAAUUAAAAACGAAUUAUAUGUUAUCAUUUAUGGGUAUAUAUGCAUAUUAUAAAAUAAAAUUUUUAAAUAAUUCCAAUCGAAAUUCACCCCAUACAAGUAUCGGUUUACUUAUACAUAAGUGUAAACUUACUUUAUUUUAUUCAGAAAUUUUAAGUUAAGCACGAAUACAAAACUAUUAAUAAUUUAAAAAUUCAAAUUUGUUUUUAUGUUUGUGUUAAUUUAACUUAGUCAAAACUCAAACUCGCGUGAGGGUAUGAGAAGAACUGUGCCUUGUAGCCGCAUUGGCACCCAACAAAAUUAGGAGAACUAUUCACUUCACUUUCUUCUUAGUUACGCCAGUUUGCUAUAUAAACUAUGUAGAUAUGUGGUAAGAAUUAAGUAAAUCAACUUUUUGACUAACGAAUUUCAUGUAAGCAUAAAUACUGUUCUUGUCUUUUUUAAUAAACACAAGCACAAUUGCUUAUUAUGUCAUACAAUAUUUAAUGAAUAUAAAUAUU